rnacentral:rRNA from 1 species
UACGUAGGGUGCAAGCGUUAAUCGGAAUUACUGGGCGUAAAGCGUGCGCAGGCGGUGAUGUAAGACAGGUGUGAAAUCCCCGGGCUUAACCUGGGAACUGCAUUUUGUGACUGCAUAGCUAGAGUGCGGGUAGAGGGGUAGUGGAAUUCCCGGUGUAGCGGUGAAAAUGCGUAGAGAUCGGGAGGAACACCAGUGGCGAAAGGCGGCUACCCUGGACCAGCACUGACACUGAGGCACGAAAAGCGUGGGGGAGCAAACAGG